rnacentral:rRNA from 1 species
AUGGCGUUCCGCCGACUCCUCUCGGCCGCAGUGCGCCGCCGCUCCUCCGCGGCGGCGGCGGCGGCGGCCGGGAACGCGCGCGAGGCCUCCACGGCCGUCGCCGCGGGCCCCGGCGCCAUCGCCCCCGACGCGCCCGCCGCCCGCGCCCCGGUGAUGGCGUACGACCGGAUCGCCGACGCCGUCAACGCGCGCGUCCGCCGCCUCGAGCACCCGGACCCCCGCUUCCUCCGCUACGCCAGCCCCGUGCCCGCGCACGUCGACCACACCGCCAUCCUCGAGGCGCCGGAGACCAAGGUCACCACGCUCGACAACGGCCUGCGCGUCGCCACCGAGUCCUCGCUCUCCUCGCGCACGGCCACCGUCGGCGUCUGGAUCGACGCCGGGAGCAGGUACGAGACGGAGGAGGCCGCCGGGGUCGCCCAUUUCGUGGAGCACAUGCUGUUCAAGGGCACGGGGACGCGCAGCGCCGGGCAGCUCGAGCAGGAGAUCGAGGACAUGGGCGGCCACCUCAACGCCUACACCUCGCGGGAGCAGACCACCUACUACGCCAAGGUGCUCGACAAGGACGUGCCACGUGCGAUGAAUGUUCUCGCCGACAUUUUGCAGGACUCUAAGCUCGAGGACAACCGCAUUGAACGCGAGCGCGGUGUCAUUCUCCGAGAGAUGGAAGAGGUUCAGGGACAGUCGGAGGAAGUUAUAUUCGAUCAUCUCCAUGCAACUGCAUUCCAGUAUACUUCUCUUGGCAGGCCAAUCUUGGGUUCUGCUGAUAAUGUCAAGUCUAUCACCAAAAAGAAUCUCAUAGACUACAUUCAAAAGCAUUACACGGCUUCUAGAAUGGUCAUUACUGCUGCUGGUGCUGUUAAGCAUGAGGAUAUUGUACAGCAGGCAAAAGAGCUGUUCAAAUCGCUGCCAACCGACCCUACAACAACUAACAUGUUGGUUGCUGAACAGCCAGCCAUUUUUACUGGUUCUGAGGUACGAAUCAUUGAUGAUGACAUGCCCCUGGCCCAAUUUGCUGUUGCCUUCAAUGGAGCAUCCUGGACAGAUCCUGAUUCUAUUGCAUUAAUGGUUAUGCAAACUAUGCUUGGUUCGUGGAACAAGAGUGCUGGAGGAGGGAAGCACAUGGGUUCGGAGCUUGUACAGAGAGUAGCAAUCAAUGAAAUAGCUGAGAGUAUAAUGGCAUUCAAUACAAACUACAAGGACACUGGCCUGUUUGGUGUCUAUGCUGUCGCUAAGGCUGAUUGCUUGGAUGAUUUGGCUUUUGCAAUUAUGCAAGAGAUGAGCAAAUUAUCAUACAGGGUUACCGAAGAGGAUGUUAUUCGUGCACGCAAUCAGCUGAAAUCCUCCAUCCAACUCCACCUUGAUGGCUCCACUGCUGUUGUUGAGGAUAUUGGACGCCAGCAACUCAUCUAUGGCCGUAGAAUUCCUAUUCCUGAGCUUUUUGCGAGAAUAGAUGCAGUUGAUCCGAGCACUAUCAGGCGUGUUGCAAACCGCUUCAUCUUUGACCAGGAUAUUGCCAUCGCUGCCAUGGGACCAAUUAAGUCUCUUCCAGACUACAACUGGUUCAGACGCAGGACCUACAUGCUCCGUUACUAG